GUGCUUGCUUUGGCAGCACAUAUACUAAAAUUGGUACGAUACAGAGAAGAUUAGCAUGGCCCCUGCGCAAGUAUGACGUGCAAAUUCAUGAAGUAUUCCAUAUUAAA